GUAGUAGCAAAUACUCCAGCGAGACCCUAGAGGACUGAGGCGGGGAAGGGUUUCGUGUGAACAGCUGUUGCACACGAGUCAGUCGAUGCUGAGCCCUAGGAGAAGUCCGAGGAAUUGCGGGCACAAGGCCCCCGCGGGCGAAAGAGAAUCCGGUCCCUAUUCCGGAACCCGGUCGCGGAACCGUCUCACGUCGGGCCCCCCGCCCUCGCGGCGGGAAGCUCGUCGGGGUAACCCAAACUGACCCGGAGAAGCCGUUGGGAGGUCGGGGAAGAGUUUUCUUUUCUGUUUGAGCGUUCGGGUUCCCUGGAAUUGCCUAGAGCAGAGAGAGGGAAUGGAGCGCGAAGAGCACCGCAGUUGCGGCGGUGUCCCGGCAUGCCCAUCGGACCUUGAAAAUCCGGGGACGGGCCACGUGGAGGUAUCGCGCCGGAUCGUACCCAUAUCCGCAGCAGGUCUCCAAGGUUAAGAGCCUCUAGCCGGUAGAUUAAUGUAGGUAAGGGAAGUCGGCAAAUCGGAUCCGUAACUUCGGAACAAGGAU
rnacentral:rRNA from 1 species